CUUGGUGGUUUUAGCGGUGGGGUCACACCUGUUCCCAUCCCGAACACAGAAGUUAAGCCCACCAGCGCCGAUGAUACUCUUUCUGGGGAAAGUAGGUCACCGCCAGGA
rnacentral:rRNA from 1 species